UACGUAGGUGGCAAGCGUUGUCCGGAAUUAUUGGGCGUAAAGAGCUCGUAGGCGGCUUGUCGCGUCGGUUGUGAAAGCCCGGGGCUUAACCCCGGGUCUGCAGUCGAUACGGGCAGGCUAGAGUUCGGUAGGGGAGAUCGGAAUUCCUGGUGUAGCGGUGAAAUGCGCAGAUAUCAGGAGGAACACCGGUGGCGAAGGCGGCACUCUGGGCCGGAACUGACGCUGAGGAGCGAAAGCGUGGGUAGCAAACAGG
rnacentral:rRNA from 1 species